UCUCCGUAGGUGAACCUGCGGAAGGAUCAUUACCGAAUUAAGGGCUCUCAGUGCCUACCUCUCACCCAGUGUUUUGGUGACCUUGUAGCUUUGGCCGUCCCGCCUCGAUGACAGACGGCCGGGAGCUCACCGCAGUGAGCCCGUGCCCGUCAUUAACACACUUAAAAUCUUAAUAAACCUGUCUUCUUAGUAAAUAGAAAUACUUAAAAAAAACUUUCAACAACCGAUCUCUUGGAUCUGGCAUGGAUGAAAAAGGCAGAAGAUCGGAAGGGAACACAG
rnacentral:misc_RNA from 1 species